GACGUAGGCAGUUUUCCAAGUCGAUUGUGAAAUCUCCCGGCUUAACUGGGAGAGGUCAGUCGAUACUGUUAGACUAGAGAGCAGCAGGGGGAGAUGGAAUUCCCGGUGUAGUGGUGGAAUUUGUAGAUAUCGGGAGGAACACCAGUGGCGAAGGCGGUCUCCUAGGCUGUUUCUGACGCUGAGGUCCGAAAGCGUGGGGAGCAAACAGGAUUAGAUACCCUGGUAGUC
rnacentral:rRNA from 1 species